rnacentral:tRNA from 1 species
GGGCAUACUUCAGUGGUAGAGGGCAUGCCUAGCAUGCGUGAGGUCCUGGGUUCAAUUCCCAGUAAAUCCG